UCCGAGAGCACAGCUGGACUGAUCCCCGCGGGACAUCGAGCCCCUUCCCUGCCCCGGCCCUCCUGCUUGGCCCAGUGCCAUCCCCACACCACUUGUUUCCCAGAGGGAGGGCAACAGAUGGGUGAUUUCAGGGGAGCCAGGCACGGAGCUGCAGCCAGCAGGAGACAGGAGAUGAGCCACAGGUGCCCAGCACCCAUGGUCACUGGAUGGGGCGAGCUGGUGCAGGCUGCCCUGGCACCCCUGACACGGUGACAGCGAGGGCUGAGCCCAACCUGAGCUUGCACAAGCAUGGCCACAGCACCCAUGGGCACAGCCCAUGCUCCCACUGUACAUCCAAAGCAGCAGCAGGACCCGGCCCUCCUUCUCUUCCAAGUGGAG